UACAGAGGGUGCGAGCGUUAAUCGGAAUUACUGGGCGUAAAGCGCACGUAGGCGGCUUGGUAUGUCGGGUGUGAAAUCCCCGGGCUCAACCUGGGAACUGCAUCCGAAACUGCCUUGCUGGAGUACGGAAGAGGAGGGCGGAAUUCCCGGUGUAGCGGUGAAAUGCGUAGAUAUCGGGAGGAACAUCAGUGGCGAAGGCGGCCCUCUGGUCCAGUACUGACACUCAAGUGCGAAAGCGUGGGGAGCAAACAGG
rnacentral:rRNA from 1 species